rnacentral:misc_RNA from 1 species
CCGAGUUAGGGUCCUUUAGGGCUCGACCUCCUACCCUUUGUCUACCUUACCUUUUGUUGCUUCGGCGGACCCGUCCCUUAGGGGACCGCCGGAGAGCUCAGGCUCUCUGGCCCGCGUCCGCCGGUGGCCUACAACCAAAACUCUUGUUUAAACGUGUCGUCUAAGUACAAAAACAAAUAAGUAA